CAUCCUACGGGGCGCAGCAGUGAGGAAUAUUGGUCAAUGGACGAGAGUCUGAACCAGCCAAGUAGCGUGAAGGAUGACUGCCCUAUGGGUUGUAAACUUCUUUUAUAUGGGAAUAAAAUGUUCCACGUGUGGGAUUUUGUAUGUACCAUAUGAAUAAGGAUCGGCUAACUCCGUGCCAGCAGCCGCGGUAAUACGGAGGAUCCGAGCGUUAUCCGGAUUUACUGGGUGUAAAGGGUGCGUAGGCGGAGUGUCAAGUCAGCGGUAAAAUUUCGGGGCUCAACCCCGUCGUGCCGUUGAAACUGACG
rnacentral:rRNA from 1 species